GUCUCAUCCACAGACUAGUCAUAUAUACACAAAGUUGGAAGAGCUUAAGAAAAUGAUUAAGGAAGCAGGUUACGUACCUGAUACAAGCUAUGCCUUGCAAGAUACAGAUGAAGAACAGAAGGAACACAAUCUCUGGAACCAUAGUGAAAGACUUGCCCUUGCAUUUGGCUUGAUCAAUACUCCUGAAUAUUCAACUGUUAAAAUUUUCAAGAACCUUCGUGUUUGUGGUGAUUGUCAUUCUGUUUACAAGUUUGUUAGUGGACUUCUUGGGCGGAAAAUCAUAUUACGAGACCCU
rnacentral:misc_RNA from 1 species